rnacentral:pre_miRNA from 1 species
AGGGGAAUAGCUGGGUCAAAUGAUGGUUCCAUUCCCAUCUUUCCAAGGAAUCUCCAUACUGCUUUCCAAAUUGGCUGCACCAAUUUGCAGUCCCACCAGCAAU